AAUUUUAUAGUUUAAUUAGAACAACAGAUUGCAAAUCUGAAAGUAACUAAAAGUUUAAAAUUU
rnacentral:tRNA from 1 species